AUGAGGGUUGAGCUGAGACUCCUUCCUCCCCGUCAUGGUGAGUUUGGGAUGAGGCUUUCAUUUGGGACCAGCUGACGCUUGCCCACUGCUGAGGCAGAAGGACAUCAUGUCCCUCUGGGGACAGUUUGCCGUCCCGCCCUGUCACUUUCACUCUCUUAUCCACAGGCCACGAAGCACAAGGCACACAAGUCCAGACUGCAAAGGGGGGGUACCUCGCACUUCCGAGUCAGGAUAAAAGGAUUUUCGUACUUCCCGUCUUGCAGGCGUGCAGCGACGUUGUCCUGUCUAAUGCAGCAUUACACUUUGCUGCAGACAUGCUAACUACCA